GACGAACGCUGGCGGCGUGCCUAAUACAUGCAAGUCGAGCGAAGUUUUUCUGGUGCUUGCACUAGAAAAACUUAGCGGCGAACGGGUGAGUAACACGUAAAGAACCUGCCUCAUAGACUGGGACAACUAUUGGAAACGAUAGCUAAUACCGGAUAACAGUAUUUCUCGCUUGGGAGUAAUUUAAAAGUUGGUUAUGCUAACACUAUGAGAUGGCUUUGCGGUGCUUUAGCUAGUUGGUGGGGUAAAGGCCCACCAAGGCGACGAUGCAUAGCCGACCUGAGAGGGUGAUCGGCCACACUGGGACUGAGACACGGCCCAGACUCCUACGGGAGGCAGCAGUAGGGAAUCUUCCGCAAUGGGCGAAAGCCUGACGGAGCAACGCCGCGUGAGUGAAGAAGGAUUUCGGUUCGUAAAGCUCUGUUGUUAGGGAAGAAUGGAUAUGUAGUAACUAUACAUGUAAGAGACGGUACCUAACCAGAAAGCCACGGCUAACUACGUG
rnacentral:rRNA from 1 species